CUGAGAUUACCCGGCCUCCUCCAGUUUAUGCGCUCCCCAAAGGACGCUCCUUUCUUCAACUUCUUCGGUACAUUAAAGCGAAAGUUAGGAAUACGUUACCUUAAGUUCCAUAAAAAGCUCUCCAGGCGACAGUCGUCAGAACGUUGGACGCGUGUGAAACACCCCCGAAUACUGCCCUCAGUCACUGCACUUGGCUGGGCGGAAAGUUCCUUGCCACCCGGGUGGGUGGGUAGAGAGACGAGACGUAACCUACUAAGCUGGUGAAAGGAUUCCCCUUCCACACUAUUUCACACGUCUGUGCUUUCACAUGUGUCGAUACGAUGCCUAUACAAAUAAAUUACGGGAAAAUACUACC